rnacentral:rRNA from 1 species
UGGGGAAUUUUGGACAAUGGGCGAAAGCCUGAUCCAGCAAUGCCGCGUGUGUGAAGAAGGCCUUCGGGUUGUAAAGCACUUUUGUCCGGAAAGAAAUCCUUGGCUCUAAUACAGUCGGGGGAUGACGGUACCGGAAGAAUAAGCACCGGCUAACUACGUGCCAGCAGCCGCGGUAAUACGUAGGGUGCAAGCGUUAAUCGGAAUUACUGGGCGUAAAGCGUGCGCAGGCGGUUUGCUAAGACCGAUGUGAAAUCCCCGGGCUCAACCUGGGAACUGCAUUGGUGACUGGCAGGCUAGAGUAUGGCAGAGGGGGGUAGAAUUCCACGUGUAGCAGUGAAAUGCGUAGAGAUGUGGAGGAAUACCGAUGGCGAAGGCAGCCCCCUGGGCCAAUACUGACGCUCAUGCACGAAAGCGUGGGGAGCAAACAGGAUUAGAUACCCUGGUAGUCCACGCCCUAAACGAUGUCAACUAGUUGUUGGGGAUUCAUUUCCUAGUAACGUAGCUAACGCGUGAAGUUGACCGCCUGGGGAGUACGGUCGCAAGAUUAAAACUCAAAGGAAUUGACGGGGUCAUA